rnacentral:rRNA from 1 species
AUUGAACGCUGGCGGCAGGCCUAACACAUGCAAGUCGAGCGGAAACGAAGGGAGCUUGCUCCCAGGCGUCGAGCGGCGGACGGGUGAGUAACACGUGAGAAUCUGCCCAUUAGUGGGGGACAACUCGGGGAAACUCGAGCUAAUACCGCAUAAUCCCUACGGGUGAAAGCAGGGGACCUUUUGGCCGUGCGCUCAUGGAUGAGCUCAUGUCGGAUUAGCUUGUUGGUGAGGUAAAGGCUCACCAAGGCGACGGUCCGUAGCUGGUCUGAGAGGAUGAGCAGCCACACUGGGACGGAGACACGGCCCAGACUCCUACGGGAGGCAGCAGUGGGGAAUCUUGGACAAUGGGGGCAACCCUGAUCCAGCCAUGCCACGUGUGUGAAGAAGGCCUUCGGGUUGUAAAGCACUUUCAGCAGGGAGGAAGGCUUUGGCCGAAUAGGUUGAAGUACUUGACGUUACCUGCAGAAGAAGCACCGGCUAAUUUCGUGCCAGCCGCCGCGGUAA